CUAAGACAAGCACGUCCCGCCACCGUCUCAGAGCGUCAUCUGAGUCCCCCGGUGUGCGUUGCAGGCGUCCAGCGUGGAUUUGAGCCAGGCAGAAUUCACCAGCCAGCCGGGUGGCAGACUCCCUCGUUGGUCUGCAGGAGCAGUCAGUCCAUCACCAAGUGGACUUGCCACAGCUGGAGUUUGUGGUGCUUAUAACACGGGUGGCCAACACUCCCUUGGCACAGCUCCCCCAGGAUGGGACCAGAUCAAAGCAGCCAGACUGCUGGUGAAAUGCCAUCUGCAGCAGCUCAGAACAUUUCUUCCUCGUCUUCGAGAGGAUGAAAGGAGGCAGAAUGACACGGUGCCGAGCCCAGGCUCUUGGAAUCAGAUGUGGUUCGGCUGCCAGCUUUGAGUGGAAACUAGCCAAACGAUAAAAAUUUACACUUGGAGUGGUUUGACCCAGGGAGAUGGUCUGUCAUCAGGACUGGAACUUCACUUCCAGGCAGCAGUAAUGGCUAACAUUUACUGAGCAGUCACUAUGAGCCUGGCACUGCUGUAAGCACUUCCCAUGCUUUAACCCAUUUAAUGCCCUUUACAGGGAAAAACGGAGCCACAGAGGGAUAAAGUGGUUUGCCCAAGCCGUGAAGCAGUCGUACCAGCAAAUAAAGCAUCCAAUUCCAGAAAUGAAGCCUACUGACUGCACAGUGUCAAGCUCCCCCUGCCCAAAUUAUUCACCGAUCAGUACAAACUCA
rnacentral:lncRNA from 1 species